UUCGUAGGCGGUGCGGCAAGUCGGGAGUGAAAUCUCUGGGCUUAACCCAGAGGCUGCUUCCGAAACUGCCGUGCUAGAGUGCGGGAGAGGCGAGUGGAAUUGCAGGUGUAGCGGUGAAAUGCGUAGAUAUCUGCAGGAACACCCGUGGCGAAGGCGGCUCGCUGGACCGCAACUGACGCUGAGGAACGAAAGCUAGGGAGCAAACA
rnacentral:rRNA from 1 species